UAUAUAGUUCAUUGAAUAUAGAACAUUUGGUUUGAAACAUUCUGUGGGAAGCACCGGAGGCACCUGGGGGCCCAAUCGUGAUGGGCCCAGAAGAAGCAUGGUCAAGGAACUGUGUCAUUCGCACCGCAGCGCUACUGCCCUUGUUGCGCAUGCGCAUCCCAAACACACUCGGAUCCCUCCUCCAGGAGCACCUAGUGCAG
rnacentral:lncRNA from 1 species